rnacentral:rRNA from 1 species
UUGAACUCGCUGUGAAGAUGCAGUGUACCCGCGGCAAGACGGAAAGACCCCGUGAACCUUUACUAUAGCUUGACACUGAACAUUGAGCCUUGAUGUGUAGGAUAGGUGGGAGGCUUUGAAGUGUGGACGCCAGUCUGCAUGGAGCCGGCCUUGAAAUACCACCCUUUAAUGUUUGAUGUUCUAACGUGGACCCGUAAUCCGGGUUGCGGACAGUGUCUGGUGGGUAGUUUGACUGGGGCGGUCUCCUCCUAAAGAGUAACGGAGGAGCACGAAGGUUGGCUAAUCCUGGUCGGACAUCAGGAGGUUAGUGCAAUGGCAUAAGCCAGCUUGACUGCGAGCGUGACGGCGCGAGCAGGUGCGAAAGCAGGUCAUAGUGAUCCGGUGGUUCUGAAUGGAAGGGCCAUCGCUCAACGGAUAAAAGGUACUCCGGGGAUAACAGGCUGAUACCGCCCAAGAGUUCAUAUCGACGGCGGUGUUUGGCACCUCGAUGUCGGCUCAUCACAUCCUGGGGCUGAAGUAGGUCCCAAGGGUAUGGCUGUUCGCCAUUUAAAGUGGUACGCGAGCUGGGUUUAGAACGUCGUGAGACAGUUCGGUCCCUAUCUGCCGUGGGCGCUGGAGAACUGAGGGGGGCUGCUCCUAGUACGAGAGGACCGGAGUGGACGCAUCACUGGUGUUCGGGUUGUCAUGCCAAUGGCACUGCCCGGUAGCUAAAUGCGGAAGAGAUAAGUGCUGAAAGCAUCUAAGCACGAAACUUGCCCCGA